rnacentral:rRNA from 1 species
UACGUAGGGUGCAAGCGUUGUCCGGAAUUAUUGGGCGUAAAGAGCUCGUAGGCGGCUUGUCGCGUCUGCUGUGAAAACUGGAGGCUCAACCUCCAGCCUGCAGUGGGUACGGGCAAACUAGAGUGCGGUAGGGGAGAUUGGAAUUCCUGGUGUAGCGGUGGAAUGCGCAGAUAUCAGGAGGAACACCGAUGGCGAAGGCAGAUCUCUGGGCCGUAACUGACGCUGAGGAGCGAAAGCAUGGGGAGCGAACAGG